UACGGAGGAUGCGAGCGUUAUCCGGAUUUAUUGGGUUUAAAGGGUGCGUAGGCGGUUUAUUAAGUCAGCGGUGAAAGUUUGAGGCUCAACCUUAAAAUUGCCGUUGAAACUGGUUAACUUGAGUGUAGAUGAAGUAGGCGGAAUUAGUGGUGUAGCGGUGAAAUGCAUAGAUAUCACUAGGAACUCCAAUUGCGAAGGCAGCUUACUAAGGUACAACUGACGCUGAUGCACGAAAGCGUGGGUAUCAAAC
rnacentral:rRNA from 1 species